ensembl:snRNA U6 U6 spliceosomal RNA
UUGCUUGGGCAGCACAUACACUAACGUUAGAACAAUACAGAGGACAUUAGCAUGGCCCUUGCACAAGGAUGACACACAAAUUCAUAAACUGUUACAUAUUUUU